GUACCUGAUGCUAUAGGAAGUUUGUAUCAGCUCAAGUUCUUAAGAUUGAGAGGUAUUAAUGAUCUCCCCACCAACAUUGGCAACCUCAAGAACUUACAGACACUUCUUGUCAAUGAUUACGGAUACUCAUGCCAACUACCCCGCGAGACAGCUGACCUAAUAAAUCUAAGACAUUUAGUUGUUCCGCAUUCAAAACCUCUGAAACGUAUAAGCAAACUCAUAAGUCUUCAAGUUCUUAAAGGCAUUUGUUGUGAUCAAUGGAAAGGUGUUGACCCUGUUGAUUUAGUCAAUCUUCGAGAAUUAAGCAUGCAUCAUAUUACAAAUUCUUACUCCCUAAACAACAUUAGCAACUUGAAAAACCUUACCUCUCUCAGAUUGUUGUGUAAGGAUGAUGAAUCAUUCCCAGCCCUUGAAUUUCUUAGUGCUUGUCAAACGCUCCACAAAUUGUGGUUACAGGGGAGAAUAGAAAAACUGCCCGUCGGACCCUUUCCCAACUUCUAUCACAAUAAUGUACCUUUGUGACUCAAAACUCAUGGAAGAUCCGAUGCCUAUUCUGGGACUGAUGCCAAAUCUAAGGAAUCUCGAUAUAUUUAGAGCUUAUGAAGGAAAAGAAAUUACCUGCAGCGAGCUUCAGUCAACUGGAGUUCCUUCAUCUUGAUUGUCUUGAGAACCUAGAAAGCUGGCAUUUAGCCACAAGUGCCAUGCCUCAGAUUAAAGGUCUUGGUAUCCAUCGUUGUCCAAAGCUAAAUGAGAUUCCCAAGAGAAUGGAAGGCGUGGAGAGAACUCAUCUUCGAUGAAGCUUUUCAAGCAUAUAUGUUGUCCUAUUUCUGCCUCUUUCAUCAUAAUAGAGGAGAAGAAGCUGUCAGUGGAAAUAUAAAAGGGCCAAUGAGGGUAAGAGCAUUUGAAGAUUUUCGCAUUGAUGAAGUUGGAUGGUAAAGGAAUUAAUCAGGGCUGUCAACCUUCAGUUUUUUGUUUUGGUUUUUGAGUGUUUAAUUUCAUUUUUUGAUUUUUUGAGUGAGUGGAAUUUGUUUGAAGAGAAUUGUUUUUGGGAUUGUGCACAAAAAUUAUCUUGCUUAUCCACAUCUAAGACAAUGCUUUGUGUAAUAUGUUCCAGCAUCCGUAUGUGCUGCAGUUAGAGAACAUCUAUUUUGCAUACUCUAUUCCACCUGAUGCCAUAGGCAACUUGGCCUA